GUACCUUCAAGCUUUGCUUGGUGUUGGGCGUUUUGUCUUUUCUCUUCUGAUUAGACUCGCCUUAAAGUCAUUGGCAGCCAGUGUUUUUGGUAGUAAGCGCAGCACAUUUUGCGUCUUAGUCCUUAAAUAGCGGCAUCCAUAUAGCUACUUUUUCAC
rnacentral:misc_RNA from 2 species